GAGUGAAGAGGGAAAAGCUCAAAUUUAAAAUCUGGCAGUGCUUCACUGUCCGAGUUGUAACCUAGAGAAGUGUAACCUGCGCUGGACCGUGUAUAAGUCUCCUGGAAUGGAGCAUCACAGAGGGUGAGAAUCCCGUCUUUGACACGGACUACCAGUGCAUUGUGGUUGCGCUCUCAACGAGUCGAGUUGUUUGGGAAUGCAGCUCUAAAUGGGUGGUAAAUUCCAUCUAAAGCUAAAUAUUGGCGAGAGACCGAUAGCGAACAAGUACCGUGAGGGAAAGAUGAAAAGAACUUUGGAAAGAGAGUUAAACAGUAUGUGAAAUUGUUGAAAGGGAAACGUUUGAAGUCAGUCGUGUUGGUUGGGGAUCAGCCUAACAUUGUUGGGUGUACUUCCUGGUUGACGGGCCAACAUCAGUUUUGACUGCCAGAAAAAGGCCAAAGGAAUGUGGCACCCUUGGGUGUGUUAUAGCCCUUGGUCGUAUAUGGUGGUUGGGACUGAGGAAAGCAGCGUGCCGAAAGGCCGGGUUUCGACCACGUUCACGCUGAGGAUGUUGGCAUAAUGGCUUUAAGCGACCCGUCUUGAAACACGGACCAAGGAGUCUAACAUGCGUGCGAGUGUUUGGGUGGAAAACCCUUACGCGUAAUGAAAGUGAAAGUUGAGAUCCCUGUCGCGGGGAGCAUCGACGCCCGGACCAGAACUUUUGGGACGGAUCUGCGGUAGAGCAUGUAUGUUGGGACCCGAAAGAUGGUGAACUAUGCCUGAAUAGGGUGAAGCCAGAGGAAACUCUGGUGGAGGCUCGUAGCGAUUCUGACGUGCAAAUCGAUCGUCAAAUUUGGGUAUAGGGGCGA
rnacentral:rRNA from 1 species